rnacentral:rRNA from 1 species
CACCCUACGGGAGGCAGCAGUUAGGAAUAUUGGUCAAUGGGCGGGAGCCUGAACCAGCCAAGUCUCGUGAGGGCAGACGGUCCUAUGGAUUGUAAACCUCUUUAGGCGGGGAGCAAUGCCGGGCACGUGUGCCCGGAGGGAGAUUACCCGCAGAAUAAGCAUCGGCUAACUCCGUGCCAGCAGCCGCGGUAAUACUGAGGAUGCUAGCGUUAUCCGUAUUUAUUGGGUUUACAGGGUUCUUAGUCGGAUUUUUAAGUCAGCGGUA